GGUGGAUUAGUGGCGAACGGGUGAGUAACACGUGGGCAAUCUGCCCUUCACUCUGGGACAAGCCCUGGAAACGGGGUCUAAUACCGGAUAACACUCCUGCCUGCAUGGGUGGGGGUUAAAAGCUCCGGCGGUGAAGGAUGAGCCCGCGGCCUAUCAGCUUGUUGGUGAGGUAGUGGCUCACCAAGGCGACGACGGGUAGCCGGCCUGAGAGGGCGACCGGCCACACUGGGACUGAGACACGGCCCAGACUCCUACGGGAGGCAGCAGUGGGGAAUAUUGCACAAUGGGCGAAAGCCUGAUGCAGCGACGCCGCGUGAGGGAUGACGGCCUUCGGGUUGUAAACCUCUUUCAGCAGGGAAGAAGCGAAAGUGACGGUACCUGCAGAAGAAGCGCCGGCUAACUACGUGCCAGCAGCCGCGGUAAUACGUAGGGCGCAAGCGUUGUCCGGAAUUAUUGGGCGUAAAGAGCUCGUAGGCGGCUUGUCACGUCGGUUGUGAAAGCCCGGGGCUUAACCCCGGGUCUGCAGUCGAUACGGGCAGGCUAGAGUGUG
rnacentral:rRNA from 2 species